GGUUUUUUGUUUUGUUGGAAGAUAAGUUCUGCUCAAUGAUUUUUAAAUAGCUGCAGUAAUUUGACUGUACAAAGGUAGCGUGAUAAUUAGUUUAUUAAUUGUGAACUGGUAUGAAUGGAUUGAUGAAAGAUUACCUGUCUUUUUUCUAUUUUUGUUUGAAUUUUAUUUUUGAGUAAGAAAGCUUAAUUUGUUUUAGGGGACGAGAAGACCCUAUAGAACUUUAUUUUUCUUCUUUAAUGUUGAGGGGGAGAGUUAUUUGGUUGGGGUGAUUGGAAUAAUAGUUGAAUUUUUCUUUUUUUUGAGCAUAAAUUUUUGGUUUUUAGGUAUAAGGGUUUUAGGUAAGAAAAAGUUACCUUAGGGAUAACAGCAUAAUUUUUAUUGAAAGUUCUUAUUGAAAUUGAAGUUUGUGA
rnacentral:rRNA from 1 species